rnacentral:rRNA from 1 species
CCUACGGGAGGCAGCAGUGGGGAAUUUUCCGCAAUGGGCGAAAGCCUGACGGAGCAACGCCGCGUGAGGGAUGAAGGCCUCUGGGCUGUAAACCUCUUUUAUCAAGGAAGAAGAUCUGACGGUACUUGAUGAAUAAGCCACGGCUAAUUCCGUGCCAGCAGCCGCGGUAAUACGGGAGUGGCAAGCGUUAUCCGGAAUUAUUGGGCGUAAAGCGUCCGCAGGCGGUCUUGUAAGUCUGUCGUUAAAGCGUGGAGCUUAACUCCAUUUCGGCGGUGGAAACUACAAGACUAGAGUGUGGUAGGGGCAGAGGGAAUUCCCGGUGUAGCGGUGAAAUGCGUAGAUAUCGGGAAGAACACCAGUGGCGAAGGCGCUCUGCUGGGCCAUAACUGACGCUCAUGGACGAAAGCUAGGGGAGCGAAAGGGAUUAGAUACCCCUGUAGUCCUAGCCGUAAACGAUGAACACUAGGUGUCGGGGGAAUCGACCCCCUCGGUGUCGUAGCUAACGCGUUAAGUGUUCCGCCUGGGGAGUACGCACGCAGUGUGAACUACAAGAAGUUAGACGGCGUGAGACGUGCCGAACGGACGACGACGAGGGGAGGUAGG